AAAAAGUUUAAAUUCAGGGAAUGGAGUUGAACCAUAGGGUUUUAAGGAAGACAGUCUCUUUCGUUCUCUUGACAUGCUGGAAGAGAAAUAAGCAGUGCUGCUCGUGACACACAGCUGCAUCCAGGGAUGAGUAACUUUUUUCUCUCAUUUCCUUUGAAACAACCAUAUGUAGUUUUCAAGGCGUAAUUGGUUAUUUAACACAAAACAGUGAGACUUCCCAAGAAAUAAUUUAGAAGACCGAUCAGCAAUGAUCAGCCUACUUGGCAUUAAGUCAGCUCUUUCCCUACUGUGUCAGCACUACCAAGAAGACAAAGACUUAUUCUUUUAUUCGUAAAAUUCAGAACAGGAGAUGUUUGUUAAUCUCUGGACAUUCUUUAUCAUCACCCUUGGUUCUUAUUUUGAAUAAUAUAAGUUCUCAAAACAGCAGACUAAUUGCAAGCAGCAGUUACCACAUAAAUGUUGCUCUGAAAUGUUUUAUGAUGAGUUCUGUGACAACUGCAAACCAACAAAGUUCUUGUCAAAAAGCUACCAAAUUGCUUUUAGCUACUUUGAGUUUUCAACUCAACACUUAUCUGUUGUAAAGACAACACUUAAAUAGGUGUUACAGAUCUCCAGUAAAUAAUGACAGAGGUGGAAGAGAGGAGGAUGCUUAAUGAUAACAAAAAAGUUUUGCUUUCCUUGAAAUCUUGGCAAAUAUUAAGUGAUAUUCUAAAGAUUUUUAGAAAUCUAGCAUGUCUCAGUUUGGCUCCAGGGUAAUUACCCACAUUCAGUUUUUGUUUAAAGAAAAAAUUCUUCCUAGCCCUAUCACCUCUUCCUACCACUCCACAUCUGGUACUGGACAGUAGCUACAGAAACCACUUGUACUGAUGUUAUACAGCUAUAAACAAAACGGACCAGUUACCAAAACAGGGACAACAGGGUCAUAUCCAGGAACAGACACUGCUAAAUUCAACAGGAAAAAUUCUACACCAGUAACAACUCUGGAGUGACCCUGUGACAUGGAAAUUUUGGGGUGAGCACUGUGCUGGGAAGAACAAUGGCAAAAGUUGCCUGAAACGGUAAUUUAAAAAAAAAAAAAAAGCUUUAAAUGUUAAUAAACGAAAAACUUCUCUGCUCAUACUGUGCAUAUGCUGGAAAAGCCUAUUCAUAUCAACACUGAGUUCAGUAAGAAAUCUUUUCCAGUUGGCAUGAUUUCACUGUAAACUUAAAAAGAACAGACUGGAUGCUCACUAGACAGUGAGUUAUAUACCACCUUUUGUGAGGCUUUUAAUUCAACAUAUAUGAUCUUCAUGUUAAUGAUUAGUUACGAUAGACCAAUACUUCACCUAGAUAUACUCACUUUUUGCAUUCAUUUUGGUCUCCUUUUUAUUACAAUUCAAAACAAAAUGCACCAUCAAUUUCAGUAACUGACUGAAUUCAUCUUCAUUUAAGAGUUUAGAGUGUUAACAGUGAAAUCAAAUUUGCUGUGAAAUCUGCAAUUCCUUAUUGGUGGCAAACCCUGGGGAAACCAAAGAACUGCAUAAUGACACUACAUGAUUCGUAGAACUUCUUAGCCACUUGCAAGUGCUGCACUAAGCUGGAUUAAAAGGCAGCUGUGAGGGUCUGUUACAGACCAGUUUAGUAAAACAGACAGGAACUGUCUGGAAACAUAAAUGUUUGCAUAUUCAUAAAAAUUCACUCUUUCAUUUAAGAAAACAGCCAAAACACUAUCUAUUGAAUUUUAUGAUCACAUCUGGUGAGUCAAAGAAAUAUUCAAUUCAAAGGUUGCUCAGGAUAUUAAGAAAGGAAAAGCCAUGUUCCAAGCAAGGGACACUGAGGUGGGGAAAUCUUAGACACCAAACAAGACCCUAAACCAGGCAGGCAAUGGCUAAGGACUCAAUAUGCAUUUUGUUCUUUAGAUAAGUUUUACAUCAUCAAAAACCAUACAUGGGUUCUGGUACCUUCAGAUUAUCUAACAGACAUUUGGAGUCCUGAAUAUAAGCACUUGCACAGUUUUAUCUAAGCAGUAAGCCUGCCAAAUAUUCUCAGGUGCUCAGAGCUAAGCAUUUCCAGAUAUGAACCUGUCAAAUCAUGUACUGAAGAACAGGUGAUGAACAAAACAAGAAUAACAAAUGACAAAAGUCUAAUCACAGAAUGGUGGAUAUAUUUUUUAGAUUAGAACAUGUUAUCCUACAGCACUGGUAUUAAUAAAACUCCUGCAGAAAACCUCCCUGAAAACCCUGAGACACACAUGUCAAAAAUUUUCAGCAUCUAACCCCCUGGUUCGCUACUGGUGAAGUUGGCAGCUCUGACACUGGACUCCAACUAUGGUGCUUUUAAAAAUUCAGGUGUUGCUUGAGAACUGCACUUAUCAUGAGCAUUAUGAGCACAUUACUGAAACCCUGCUGUGUUAUUAGUGCAAGCACCAUGCAGACACAGCAGUUUGACUGUAUCUCCUGUCAUCUGAAACAGCUCUUCCAACUGACAAGGAUUGUACUAAAAGCACUUGCUCACUGUGUGCAUUUUCAUUAAGAAUUUGCCUCACAGUUGCUUAGCAUCUCUUUUAACAGUAUUGAGUGAGAGAAGCAUCGAAAAUGGAAAGACCUGAAUGCAAUAUUCCCUCACCCCAGUGCCUCAGGAGAGCCACUUAGUGUGUCCCAAAACAAAAAAAGAGUCAGUGUGCUCCACUGUACUUUCACAACUUCAAUAUUAUCUCAAAAACUAAGAGCUCUAAAGAUGAAGUAACAGAAUCGAAUAUGGUUUACCUGUACAGAAAGACCCACAAAGCCAUUUAGUAUAUACUUGGGCAUCAAGUUAAACUUUGAAAUCAAUGGAAACUUAGGCAUCUCUGUGGAUGGGAUUCACAAGUAACCAUAAGUUCAAAGAUCUUUUUCACACUAUUCAGGGGCUUGCUUGGGAUGAAGAGUUUACCAAAAACUGAGAAGAAAAAGGAAAAAAACCAAACCAGAAACCUUAUAUCACUACCCAAUUUUCCAGAAGCUCUAAAUCUGAUCAUAAAAACUCAAGUGUGAUAGAAAUAAGGAUCAACUGGUGAAUAGCACAAAUGUGUCAUGAAUAAUAUAACUACUAUUUUACACAAUAUAAUCAAGAAUUCAAGCUUACCUUGAAUUCUUUCACCUUUUCCAUGGUAAUCAGGCGCCUUGAUGUGUGGCUGGAAAGCAUCUGCUCACAGUUGCUAAUAAGUUUCAGGCACGGGUGGCGGGGAAUGAUUUCUUCUGUAUAUCUGGAAGAAAUUAACAUUCAUAAUGCUGUAAGCUCAUGAAGUGGAAGACUUGUAUCUGAAACAAAAUUCUUACAGACUCUUCACAAAAAGGCUUACACUAGAAAGUUGUUAUGCACUUUAAUCUGAUUAAAGAAAUUCAGAUAUCGGUGCUCCAGAGUUUUGACAACAUAUAUUUCAAUCAUCUUGUGACAUAUAGUGCAUAGAAUAAAUUAAAAGCUCACACUGAAGAGACAUAACCCUCCCCCUUUUUUCAUAUGUAUUUAAAUUACAUUAAUGUAUGCACACAGGCCUGCCUGUAUAAUGUCAAGUAGAAAAUAUCUCAGCCAACCAGAAAUAAUAACUUAUCCAAUGGGAGCUGUGAUUUUAAAAACAUAUUCCAGCCAACGUAUAUGAUGUUGCAGGAAUAAGAGACUUAACUCCGGCUCCCUAAAAAGAGACCAUUGUGCUUCAAUUUCAAAUCUUAUUAAGCCAGAUCUUAAUAGACAGUGACAUUCCUGGACUUCAACAUUUGGUGUGACAAACCUAUCUCAUCAUAAUUACUUUUUCUAAUGGUGAGAAAAAAAAUCCAUUAUCAUUUAACAUUAGAUAGGAUUUAAUUGUAAGCCAGUAUUGCUGCUAUCUAUAGAAGCAAGCAGUUAAAGUGUUUUAAAUGCCCCAUCUCAUAUGCAUACUAUUUUCUGUAGAAAGUGCUUUCUCUAGAUUGCUUUCAAUCUUUCUAUUUCUAUUGCUGAAAGAGGAAUUUAAAGAUUUAAGACCUUUUGUAAUGGUUUUGAGUUUAGGCCUUCCUUCCUGGUCGCCAGGAAGGAAGGAAGGAAGUAUUCCAUCCAAUUCCUUUACGCAAUCCAAACAUAUAAAUAGACAGAGAGAGAAGCCUUUUCCUCUCUUCCCUUCCGGCGAGGUUUGGAGACAUCAGAUUCCCCACAGCCAGUCUCGUUUCUGUGGGGGAGCUGGGGCCUGGCUGGGCCUACGGGGCCUGUUGUUCCUGCUGAUCUGGAGUCCGACAGUGUGGUUGGCGGUGUUUGGGCGAUUGUGCUAUCCCAAGGAAAGUAGUAAGAUAUUCUUUUGCUAAUUCUUUAGUUUGCUAGAUCCUGAGGGGUUUUUUUGAUUGUGUAUAUCUGUCUUGGUUUUUUGUUGGUUUUUUUUUCCCCUUCCCCUUCCUUUCCUUUUUGGGAUUGUAUAUAGUAUUUCAACUGUAUUUGACUGUAAUAUACGUAAAUACAUUUAUUUUAAUAUAGUUCGGCUUGUCUGGAUUUUUCAUAGUUUUUUUUUCUUUGCUCUUUGCCAGAGGUUUUUGUGCUGGGUCUGCGGACUUGGCAGGGAGCCAAGUAAAACUUAGACACCUUUGCAUGGGACUAGAGCAGCAAGAAGUAUUGACCUAGCUAAUAUAAUAAACAUGAGAUCAGACACCCUUCCCAUAUACUGAAACGUAGAUCAGUCAUUUAGUCUUAGUUUUUGUAAUAAGCUGUCAUGUAAUAGUUACUUCCACAUAACACAGAAAAUGGGUUUUGGUAUUGUCAGGGACUAUGACUUUGUACAAAAUGUCUGCUCUCAUGAUUCUCCAAUGCUUGGGAGUCAACAGGAGUCAGACAUUAAAAAGCAGAACUAAACAACUGAAACACCUAUCACUUCAACUUAAAAGGUAUGAAAGAGGAGCUUUGCAUUUUUCUUGUGAAGAGGUGGAUUUUAUGAAUGCACUUUACAAAGUAAAGGUAUUGUUCUGGGAGAAAGAGAAGACAAAUGUAACACAACUCAAAAUAGGAUCCGUCUAGGUGCUGAUGGAAAACUUGGCAUUUCUUAAGAUAACAGUAAGCUGUUAAACAAGUAACUCAAUACCAAACACAGAUUUGUAAAUAAGAAAAAAGAACCCCAAACAGUACUGCCUCUUUGUUUGCCUCAAAACUUCCAGACUGCAAAACAACCUUUCAGUCACUUCUCAUGUGGAAUCAACUUGCUACUUCCGCUAGCUGACGUCAGAACAUGCUUUUGACAAAGGAGAAUAAAAUUAUUUCUCAACUGCUCUUUCUAUUAUACAAGACUUUCGAUGCAUCUAGUAGCACCAAACUCGCUCUUUCUCCUACAAAGGUAGGCACUCCACCACAUCAUCUUAAAUUUUUAUAUAUACAAUAAUAUAUAUAGAAAAUAUAUGUAAUAAAGUUUAUACAUAAAGUUUAUAAGUAUAUAACAUUAUAAAAGACUGACUGCAAAGGAAUUAAAAGAAUUCUGACUCAACAAUGACUUCAAUGUCAGACUGAAAGAGUAAACUUUGGAGUGAGAUGCUAUCUUGCAGAAGGAGAGAUCACUAUCAGUUUGUUAAAAAGCCUUGUCUGUUAGCAUUAAUGCAUGUAUUUCUACAUUCUUUCAGGUAAAACUCAGAACCUUAUCAAGUAAGGAAUACAGAAGCAGUGGUUUUAACAGACACCCAAUUCAAUCCAGUUUUGGCUUUAAUUUAAGGUAAUACACAAGGAUCUCAAGAAAUGAAAUUGAAGGCAGGUGUUGCCAAGGGAUAUUUGAUAAUGCAAUAUGUUACUAGAAAGUAUCUUCCCUUCCCCCUACAUACUUGUUUUAAUGUCUGUUCCCUUGUUCAGCAUUACAACUGAAAAUAAACUGACUGUACUAAUAUUCCGUGCUAAUAUAGUGACCUCAGUAUUUCAAUUCACAGUAGGAUGUACAAAUUCACUUUUUAUGAGGCAACUUAACUAGACCUCCCCAAAACAGCAACCAAAGUAGAUCCUGAAUGUGCAGUUCCCAAGUUAUCUGAAGUGAGGAAACAUGUUUUUUAUCAAAGUUCAAUGAGCAGACAGAAAAACUCUAGUAUCUUGAUGAACAGAAUAAAUUCAGUAAAUCCAAACUGUUUUUAUUGACAUUGAAAUCUCAGAAUUCACAAUCACACACAGUCUAUUGGGGCUAAGCAUGUAUAGACAGACAUUUUGAACAACUAGCUAUAAUACUGUUAAUGGCAUUCAUUGCUUUGUUUUUUUUAAUUGUCUCACAAUAAAAAAAAGCCUAAAGAUACCAAUUCUAUCAUUUAUUAAAAAAAUGCAAACUGCUAAGUGCACUCUUCUGUUACAGCAGCAUGUAAAAGAAAUGGCUCCAUUUGAUUUCCAAAUUUUCUAAGCGUGUGAUAUAUAGGAUAUAUAGGACUGGCACAAGGCAUUUCCAUGAUGAAAUCAGGGACAACCACCACUUUAUUCAUCAGUAAUAUUUUGACUGUACAUAGAAACAUCUGACAUUGUAAAAACUACCUUCGGAGCACAUCUGUAUCUGGAAGAUACUUUGAAAAACCUACAGAACUCUUCACUUUACAGUGAAACAAUUUAAAAAAAAACCAAGUCAAAACAAAAAUACCAUCAAACCUAUCUAAGAGAUGCUUAAGUAAGGUAUGCAAACAGCUGUCUUUCCUUUUAAACUCAGUUCUGAACUCAGGCUGCACUACUGAGCAGAUAGGAUCUCGCAGUCUCUGCUGGCCCCUCUCGUCCUUAACAGGGCUGCUCCCUUAUGAUUCUUGCCUCUCACUACCAUCUCUUGGUCAUUUGACUUUUAUUUCUCAGAAGCAAGCUAAAUUAGUAGUGCCAAACUCCAAAGAACCAAGAGUGUUUUUCAUAGGACCUUGUCACACAUCUUUAUCAAUUACUCUAGAGAAACACAUUCUAAUAUGUACCUUGAAAGUUUAAUUUCCUAAGCUUAAACCUCAACUCACUGGAUGUACAUUUCCAAUGACACACUAAGGCUUUUUCUGUUUGGUAAUAGUCAGGAAUUAUCGCCAUUCAAAAACCUUAUUUCAAAAUCUGGUUUUCCUCACACAAAGUUUUAAAAUACGAAGUCUGGGCACUACUCUUGAGUGCUGGUGCUAUGGAAGCUCCAGCUGUACUGUGCCCCAAAAGAAACACAGUGAGAGUUCAGCAGCCAUUCUGACUUACAACAUAACAGAAAUCAACAAUACAUACUCAGGCCUGUAUAUUGGCAGCCAGUAAACUAAUCUUCCUCCCAUCACCAGAUAUUCUGCCGCAAACUUCAACAGGUCAAAAAAGAUGUCACUUAGAUGAUAAUUGGAUGAAACGAAGAUGUGAUUUUCUGUGCUAAACAAAAAAUGUACAAGUGUAAACAAACAUAAAAGCACGGGUAAAACCUACAUUUCUUAAAAUAAUAACUAAAAAAAACCCCAAACCAAAAACAGACCACAAAAGCACUAUCUGACACUCGCAAAACUAAUUGUGACAAUCCAGAAAUACAACUUCUAAUAUGAGGAAUAUGACUUUGCAAGUUCCCAUAACUGGCUCUUCAGACUAUCAUCUUUAGUAUCUGAAGUCAAAGACUCACAGGUAUACUGGGAAUAGUUGUUUCUUAACAACAGCUUUCUUAACAAUUUAGAGCAAAACGCAGAAGAAAAUGACGGCCAGGCAGUGGAGAAGCCACGACCUAUCUCUGAAAAGAGAGAUUUUGCGGCCUGCAGAGACUGAAGAGAACCUUCUGAGAAUAGGAAAUAAAAGGUAAUGAUGGCUCACAGAGGUGAGAAAUAGGAUUCAAAAUCUGAACACACACAAAUGAUAAGCAGGGAGAACAAAACCAAGAUGAUUUCAGGAAAUGACAUACUGGUUUUGCAAACAGAGUAAAAAGGGCUUUUCUUCUUUAAUUUAUAUUGCCACCAUUUUUUUAACUGUUGACAGCCGACCAAGAAAUAGUAAAGAUUCUAAAACUAUGACUAGAUUUCCAUUUAGACAUUUAUAUUCUACAACAGAUGAGACAGCUCACCUACCUUCUUUCAACUGACUUAACUGUUUCCUUUUGUGAACCUGUUCUGCGAGUAGCUUCUCUGAUACCAUAUGGUGCUAGACAAAGCAAAUGCAUAAUGCAGAGAUGAGAACCUCAUUCCUUGUCCAAAUAACACACAAUUAUACCAUACAUACACAACAGUGCAUAAACUGUGGCUUAUACAAAGUUAAAAAAAGAAAAGCUUUUACAAAGUAAAACUCAGCAAGGGAAAUUUCUUCAAGAUCUAUUAAAAGUUUAUUACUCCAAAAGGUUACUUUAGAACUGAUUCAAAGAAAGCCCUUCAGCUUUCUAAGAGCUUCUAAUAGCCUAGAAGUUUGCUACACUACAAAGAACAAUGCUUUUCUGUUUUGUUGAUUAAAAGAUAUUCCUCAGACUUGAAACAUGUGACAAAUAAUACCAUCCUCUUUUGUUUGCCAGACAUGAACAUGUCCCCUAUAGCACUUAGUUAACCUUUUUCAAAAUGAAAUUAAAUACAUUGGAAUUUCUUGCCAGUACAUUACACAAAUGGUAAUUCUCUCACAUAAGAACCAGAGAUGGCUUUUUCUCACACAUUUUUGCACAUUUCUAAUAACAUAACAUACUUAUUUCAUGUUCAAAACCCCUGGUUUUGUGAGACUUGUUUCAGCAUCAUGGAAGCACCAAUAUAACCACCGCAGAAGUCUUACAAAUUGUGUCACACUCAGUUCUGAGUCCAUAUUGAUAUUCUACACUGUUUUAUUGCCAAAUGGACCAAAUAAAAACUAGCAAGCAACCUACGAAGAAAAGUCACACUCCCUAUUCCUAAUUAAUAUGAAUGUCUCAUCAUAAGAGUCAGCACUAGAGAUCAGAAAUUGCUGUAUCAAGGUCUUUCAUUUAUUCCCUUAGUUUCUAUUCCCUCUCAUACAUGACAAAUGGUGUUUAGUACAUAGGUUGCUAAAAGAGCAAAGGAUCCUUCCAAAAUGCUAAUGCUUCUAGUAGUUAAGUGUAUUGGAAACACAUUAAAACUUCUCUUUGGAAGCAUUACAAUAAGCAUUUAACAUAAAUCUUUGGAAGUCCAUCAAGGCUGCAUGGCAGACUCCAAUGUCCUGCAGAUCAAGUUCUAACAGCAACAUGUACCAUUCUGAUAAGAAGUCUCUGUGCAUCAAUAAAGUUACGCUUUUACUGAAUGAGACUUCUUCAAAGGAUGAUUUCCAGCCGUAUUGAUUUCUGCUGGUGAACAUAAUAUUCUUUCCACGGAAGAAAGAGUUACUGCCAGCUUUGUUACACAUUUAUAACUACCCUUAAAAUAAAUGCAGAGAUGUCAAAUGCAGAUCCAAUUUCCACAGUGCUGCUCUCAAUAACCAUCUCUGACAAACUGCAGACCUGAGCACUCAUCCAGACAUUAAAUCAACACAUAUAGGCACAGACACAGGUAAUAAUCUUUCAGUCACUGCUAUCAGGCAACAAAAAGCAGUAACAAACUUACGGUCUGUAAUGAUUGCAUCAAACAGCAUCCCUUUUCGCCAUAUUGGCCUGGAAGAAUCAGCAACCAGUGCAUCGAGGUAGUAUUUCUCUAAACCAUACUGUCGGAGAUUAGCUCUGAUAUUUUCAUCUGGCCCUCUCCAUUUCUGGUUCUUUCUGCUUGCCUUGCCUGGGAAGGGAAAGGGCCCAGAGUGGGGGAAAAAAGCACACUCAACAAGAAACUAUUAUAUAAGAAAAGCUUUUCAUAUACUCUACCAUUUAAUUUAAAGGAAAAUAAUUAAAUGUCACUACAAAACCUGUCAAAAGUACUUGCAGUAAACUUCAGAAGUAGUAAGAAAUAAUGAAAAUACACUAGAAAAGUUCUGCUGCACCAUCUGCAUAGGGUGUCCCAGAACACAUUUGUAAAAAUCUUGUUUUGUUAGACAUUCUCUCUGACCAUCAGUCACAAUCCUGUCCACUAGGUCAGAUACAGUUUGCACUGCAGAUUUUCAGAGAAGUAAGAAUAAGAUUAGACUUCCUGGGUUAGGUUACGAGAAGCUUCCUACAUCACAGGUUAAGACAGCACACAGCUGUGGUAAUUAUUAUUUGGAAUUUCGUUUGGUUUUUAUUAUUCCUUUUUUAAAAUAUUUCCUGCAUAAAAAUAAGAUAAUAUUUUAUCUAGGAUACAUGUAAAUUGGUGAGUAAAAAUAAGGAUGACCAAAUAAAUCCUAAUAAGAUUAAUAUUGCUUUAAAAUCCACUAAGUAUCAUCCACUACCAUCCUAAAUUCCAGAGAGCAAGAUUUCAGUGGUUUAGAAAUAUGUAACAUACCUAAUCCGUGGAUUGUGUUGUAAUCUAUAUCAGUACCACACACAUAUGCUCCAAAGUGUGCUGAGGAGAUCAGAAGGCCACCUACACAGGGGAGAAAAGAGGAAAAAUAUAAACUCCUGUCAUAAAUGUUACUUGUGUUGGAAUUUCUCCCUCAGGAACUUCAGGAGUUUACAGCAGUAGCACACUAGACCCAAAGCUAGACCCAAGCAUAAAAAAAAAGAAACUAAAAAAAGAAACAAAACUACCAACCUGUUAGAAUCACUACGCAACUAUAAUCAGAAAUAAUUACACCAAGUCCCUUGUCUGCUAUACCUGAUUCUCCUUAUCUUACUAUGCCUUAUGUCACUCCUUAUCUUUUGAGACUGCUCUUAGGAGUUUGUUUAUGGUUCUCUUUAUUUCAAGGCAGUAAGAUCCUUUAAUCAUUACAUGAACCAAAACUUUUGAUACUACUUUGCAAGGAACAGAAUUUCAUAUUGUUGGCACACAAUUUGAAAAGUCAUCACCAAACAAAUAGCAGUUCUCCUGUGUCUGUUCUCAAAGUAUCUCCUUAACUGUGUCUAAAAUCAAACUUGUUGUAAAAUGUGGCCAUUCCCUGCGUAAGAAACAAUGGUCAAGAGCCUUGCAAAUGUAAAUAUGUCCAAUGUAAACAGGGAACAUCAAAACAGUUCCUGUAAUUGUUAUGCUGUGUGAAAACUAUAUACGAAUGCAUUUUUCUGUGAGUAUGCUGCCUAUUUUGUCAGCAGUUUUACCAGUGUACUUAUUCUGCAAUAAAAUCAUUUUUUUAAUUAAUACUGUUGCAACCUGCUUUACUAAUU